UUCACCUUGUUGUAUGUCCCUGAAACCAAAGGAAGGACUUUGGAACAAAUCACAGCCCAUUUUGAGGGGCAAUGAUAUCCCUUUUCUGUGAGUGGCUGUCCCUCCUAGCUGGGCCAGCUUUGGACUUCAGUGGAAAUGGAGCCAGCCUAUGGCUCUGAGCUGAGCCUGAGCCUGGGGCCCCUGACAGUCUGAGGCCCUACGGAAGUCGGGACCGAGGAGCACAGCCACUGGGAGCCUUGGCCUCUGGGCCCCUCCUUCCUGUCCGGCUUGCAGCAGCCUAUACCCAGAGCUGUUAGGUUCACCAGCUUCCAGGUCCAGUUCCUGCUGCUGCUGUGGGGACUCACAACCAUCUGGGAGGAGCCCUGUGGUCAGCCCUCCACAUGCCGCCUCCUUCAUGACACUAAAGCAGCAGCGGUUGGGGGGCACUUCUUUGCUCCUUAUUUCCUGGCUGGAGAUGCUUUUGGAGGCUGGGUGCUGGGCACCUGCUUGCUCCUCUCACAUGGCUGCAUUAUCAGGAAGGAACUUUGUCAAAUAAAGAUUUGACUCAGAAAAUCAGGUCACGACCUCUCUGUGUGAGUCCAGUUUGAGAAGGGUGUAUUCCGUCCUCCUGUAAACCAGGCCUCUUGGGCCUGCCCAGAACAUCCUAUGCAUUUACUUCCUCGUGCUCAGCCAAGCUUGCUCUUGGCAUGUGGAGGUCAUUUCUAGCUCUUCCUUGGGCUCAGGUCCCUGCGUCAUUAGCCAUCAAAUCUUGUUGGUUUCAAAAAAAAAAAAAACCUCUUUUUCUGUUGACUUUAAUGGAGCCAGAAGUUUUGUAUAAAUUACUUUUAUCAUUAUCUAUGUUUAUUGUAUGAAAAUUAGAAAAAAGAUUUAUGUAACAUAGCAAAUUAUUUUCAUAGCAGCUUAACCAUCUUUCUAAGCACAUUAUAAAUAUUAGCUCAUUUAUUUGAAUAAAUAAUAAAAAUAUUCACAGCCACC